AUUGCCUAAAUAAUCUAAAAAUCACUGGGCAAGUCACUACUUAACUAAAAAUUGGUGACGUAAAUGCAGAUACCAAACAAAUUUACUUCGGAAAGGACAGGUGGGUCACGUCUCAAUACUAUGGGUAAUUAAUGGGCUCUCCAAAAAUAUCGGAAUUUAUUACAUCAGCAGCGAGUUUUAUAAUUACUAAACCUGUCUUAUUGAACUGUACCAUUACGGGGAAGUCAUCUAACAGGUCAAAAAACAAAGAAAACAGAAAUGAAUCCGAUGAAUUGAAACAUCUAGACCCGGAUUUGCUAGCCCACAUGAGAGUAAACAUAGUUGGUAGUCUGGCACUCCGUUGACAACGGAUUUGAACGGAACUUGGCGCCAGAUUCUACCGAAUCUGUGGAUGACGGAAUAAAAGUGGUGCUAAAGUUGAUGGUUCACUGAUCCAAGUUUCUGAUAGACGAAUAUAGUUUGAAGAGAAGAUAUCGGUGGGAUUCAGUAAGUGAUUUGAUCCACGAAUGUUCCAGAAGGUUAGUUUAAGAUUUGGUGAAGGCGUUUUUAGACGAGGUUGUGGUGAUCGAGAAGCAUUUUUUAACCCUGAAGUACUAUGGGUGAAAUACUGUGGAAUACCUUGAUUUAGCGACGACUGAGGAUGCGUAGGGUGCGGUGAGGCUUGAAUAGUGCCAGCAGUACUUAAAGAUGAGAUUAUGGCCUUUGAAACAGUGUCGUACUUAUAAGGGAUACCAUUUACAUAGACCUUGAGGUGUCCAAAGUGAACUGUUUUAUAUGGCACGCCGUUUUACUUUUUAAAGCUUAAAAUUUUCUACCUGAAUAAUUACAGAAAGAGCGGAA